AUUGAACGCUGGCGACAUGCCUUACACAUGCAAGUCGAACGGCAGCACGGGUGCUUGCACCUGUUGGCGAGUGGCGAACGGGUGAGUAAUACAUCGGAACAUGUCCUGUAGUGGGGGAUAGCCCGGCGAAAGCCGGAUUAAUACCGCAUACGAACUACGGAUGAAAGCGGGGGACCUUCGGGCCUCGCGCUAUAGGGUUGGCCGAUGGCUGAUUAGCUAGUUGGUGGGGUAAAGGCCUACCAAGGCGACGAUCAGUAGCUGGUCUGAGAGGACGACCAGUCACACUGGGACUGAGACACGGCCCAGACUCCUACGGGAGGCAGCAGUGGGGAAUUUUGGACAAUGGGCGAAAGCCUGAUCCAGCAAUGCCGCGUGUGUGAAGAAGGCCUUCGGGUUGUAAAGCACUUUUGUCCGGAAAGAAAUCCUUGGCCCUAAUACGGUCGGGGGAUGACGGUACCGGAAGAAUAAGCACCGGCUAACUACGUG
rnacentral:rRNA from 1 species